GACGACUAAGGGGGGAUAUGGUAGAGGUCUGUCAUCCAACAGGUCUAUAAAAUCAUGACUGGUGGGGAGAAAGUGACAAGGGAAGUGUUAUUUACCCCUUCACAUACACAAGAACCAGGGGUCACCCAGUGAAAUUAAUAGGCAGCAGGUUUAAAAAACAAA